UCUAGUAGCGAUAGCUGAGUGGUACCACCUGUUCCCAUACCGAACACAGUAGUUAAGCACUCAUACGCCGAAAGUACUUGUCUGGAAACGGGCUGGGAGGAUAGGGAGCUGCUAGUU
rnacentral:rRNA from 1 species